rnacentral:lncRNA from 1 species
ACAGAAUCUUCAGCAGUAGCUGUCAGAGGUGUCGAGAAGAAUAAGGGUGCAUUUUGCUUGGGAGCCGCCCUCUUAAUAUUAGAAAAAGAGCUAGGGUUUUUUAUUCUCUUCUCUACAUUUCAGAUCUCUUUCCUUGAUUCUAGCUUAUCCUUAGUUUUCUAAAAUGAUCUCCUCAUGAUUUUUGGGAUUUGAAUCUCGGCAGGGAGGACAUCUUCUCAAAUUUUUAAAAAGCCUGCAUUUUCUUUAGGUACUCUGCAGGUCGCAACACAAGCCUCAGGUAAGGCAUAUUUCUAUUAUGCGCAGGUCUUUUUAAAC